GUCCACGCCCUAAACGAUGGAUACUCGACAUUAGCGAUACACAGUUAGUGUCUGAGCGAAAGCAUUAAGUAUCCCACCUGGGAAGUACGACCGCAAGGUUGAAACUCAAAUGAAUUGACGGGGGUCGCACAAGCUGUGGAGCAUGUGGUUUAAUUCGAUGAUACGCGAGGAACCUUACCUGGGCUAGAAUGCUGGGAGACCGUGGGUGAAAGCUCACUUUGUAGCAAUACACUGCCAGUAAGGUGCUGCAUGGCUGUCGU
rnacentral:rRNA from 1 species